GUAUGUCUGUGAGGAAUGAACACACGUGUUUAAGUCUGUUUCACAGGUUUAAUAAUGCUGUAUCAAUAAACAACUCAGUUUAAGCCACUUUUCCAUCUACACGGUUCCGUUCCGUGCGUUUCCACCACAGAGAAGGCAUUUCCGGGCCGGAAAACCGGUUCCACCCGGGCCCUAAAAACUUGCUGGACUGGAACCCCAGAACCGGUUACGUCAGGGGGCGGGGCAAUGUAGCGUCACCGGGAAAAGUUUUCUGAACAACAACAGUGUUAGUUGCUAGGAACCGCGCUAACAUCUCCAGUAAUUACUGCAACAGAAAAAAAGGCACAAAAUGUGAGAAAAUGUAGUUUAGCAGUGGUCUUCGGAGGCAAGAAGAAGCACUGAAACCGAUAAAUAUGAUGUUUUGGACACUGAAUUGAGCGCCAGUGGUCACGCUGCAUAUCGACGCCGAGUCUGCUGCUAACCUCCAAGCUGAUGAGGACCUGAAUGAAGCUGAGCCAUCCUCUUCGUCAUCUUCCACAUCUUCCUUCUCCUCUUAUUCAUCUUCUUCCUCUUCUUCUUCAUCUUCCACAUCUUCUUCAUCCCAACAAAGAAAGUGUCCGGGGAAAAAAGCAAAAAAAAAGGAAGAGGGAUUCAAACCAGGAGAUGCUUGAUUACUUAAAAGCUGCAGAUGACAGGUUCAUAAAGCACAGCAGAGAGCUUCAUGUGUCCAUGCUGAAAAAAAUGGAGGAAACUACAAACUCAGUGGCCCCGUUGAGCCGCAUGGAUGCUGGGAUGGAGAGUCAGCAGGGACACCAUGCUUAAACAAUUUACAAACUUUUAGACUAAUGCGCUCUGCAUGGAUGGGAUCAUACACUGGGUGUACAUUUAUUUCUUCCUGUUGUAAAGGUGUCUGAACAUUUGAUUUGGAUUUGCUUUUCUAGGGAUCUGUUAAGAAUCCCACACAACUUCAUUAAAGACAAAACUAAUUAACACACAGUGCGGCACAUGUACACAACGCAACCCUGCAGCUAUUUAUCAGUAAAGUAAAAAUCUCCACACUUAAA